UAUAAUGAUGAUAACUUUAUAUUUUUUGCUGAUCUAUUGAGAACAGAAAUUGCCUGCUAGGCGAUUUUUUAAGAUAUUAUCGUUCAUUGAGCAUCGUGAUUUGAUAUCGUUUUGGUAUCAGAUUUCUAUGCUUCAAUUUACAUUUAGAUAAUUUGUCUUUUAAUGUGAUGAGUGGUCAGUUCCUUUUUGUCAUAGUUACACUGAUU
rnacentral:snoRNA from 1 species